UACGUAGGGUGCAAGCGUUGUCCGGAAUUAUUGGGCGUAAAGAGCUCGUAGGCGGUUCGUCGCGUCGGCUGUGAAAUCCCGAGGCUCAACCUCGGGUCUGCAGUCGAUACGGGCGGACUGGAGUUCGGCAGGGGAGACUGGAAUUCCUGGUGUAGCGGUGAAAUGCGCAGAUAUCAGGAGGAACACCGGUGGCGAAGGCGGGUCUCUGGGCCACUACUGACGCUGAGAAGCGAAAGCAUGGGGAGCGAACAGG
rnacentral:rRNA from 1 species